CUGAGUUGCACGCCGCUGCUCGGUCGACCAACCGGCAAAAGGAAUGACAAUUUUCAAAAGAUAUUUAAGCGACCGUUACACGAAGCGAUAGGAAUCAGCGCGACGUCGCAUCACGUUCCAGAGACUAUAUUCAAAGGAGGGAACACAAGGUAUUAAUACAGGCUGUGGAACCCAAUAGUACCAAAAGGGGACAGCAACCAUGAAGGUGAUCCUUAUUACCACCAUCGUUCUUCUCCAAAUGAUGCACGGUUGUGAAGGAAGGGGAGGCUGUAAUUAUCCCAUAGAGUGUCUUAAAACGCCACAGGGCGACCCCGACUGCGAUUAUGAGGACGAAGAGUUCUAUUACGACCAACAAUCGAAGAAAUGCAACAGAUUCUUGAUGGGCAUGUGCGGAGGAAACUGCAACAGCUUCAGAUCCGAAUCAGCUUGUAUGAGUUCAUGCCAAGGUGCUGGGAGAAGAUGAACACCGAGAGACAGCCUCAAGUUAUUCAAAAUAAAGACUGCAUGCACGA